UGAUAGCGAAGAAGCGGAGGUUGCUGUAUGACACAAAAAUACAGGUUUUUCGUGGAGCGAAUGUCAAUAAAUAAUUACUGACGACAA
rnacentral:ncRNA from 1 species